UACGGGGGGGGGCAAGCGUUGUUCGGAAUUACUGGGCGUAAAGGGCGCGUAGGCGGCCUGCUAAGUCGGAUGUGAAAUCCCUCGGCUCAACCGAGGAACUGCAUCCGAUACUGGCGGGCUUGAAUCCGGGAGAGGGAUGUGGAAUUCCAGGUGUAGCGGUGAAAUGCGUAGAUAUCAGGAGGAACACCUGUGGCGAAAGCGGCUCACUGGACCACAACUGACGCUGAUGCACGAAAGCUAGGGGAGCAAACAGG
rnacentral:rRNA from 1 species